UACGUAGGGGGCUAGCGUUGUCCGGAAUCAUUGGGCGUAAAGAGCGCGUAGGCGGCUAGAUAAGUCCGGUGUGAAAGUCACAGGCUCAACCUGUGAAUGCCGCUGGAAACUGUCUGGCUAGAGUCCGGAAGGGGCGAGUGGAAUUCCUGGUGUAGCGGUGAAAUGCGCAGAUAUCAGGAGGAACACCGGUGGCGAAGGCGGGUCUCUGGGCCGUAACUGACGCUGAGGAGCGAAAGCAUGGGGAGCGAACAGG
rnacentral:rRNA from 1 species